GCCGCCGUAGCUCAGCUGGUCAGAGCGGGUGACUUGUAAUCACCAGGCCGCGGGUUCGAAUCCCGCCGGCGGCU
rfam:Geoglobus ahangari strain 234, complete genome.